rnacentral:rRNA from 1 species
AUUGAACGCUGGCGGCAUGCCUUACACAUGCAAGUCGAACGGUAACGGGCCUUCGGGUGCCGACGAGUGGCGAACGGGUGAGUAAUGUAUCGGAACGUACCUUUCAGUGGGGGAUAACGUAGCGAAAGUUACGCUAAUACCGCAUAUUCUGUGAGCAGGAAAGCAGGGGAUCGCAAGACCUUGCGCUGAUUGAGCGGCCGAUAUCAGAUUAGCUAGUUGGUGAGGUAAAAGCUCACCAAGGCGACGAUCUGUAGCGGGUCUGAGAGGAUGAUCUGCCACACUGGAACUGAGACACGGUCCAGACUCCUACGGGAGGCAGCAGUGGGGAAUUUUGGACAAUGGGGGCAACCCUGAUCCAGCCAUGCCGCGUGAGUGAAGAAGGCCUGCGGGUUGUAAAGCCCUUUCGGUAGGGACGAAAGCUCUUGCCCUAACAAGGCAGGAGGUUGACUUAACCUACAUAAGAAGCCCCGGCUAACUCCGUGCCAGCAGCCGCAGUAACAC